ACUCCUACGGGAGGCAGCAGUGGGGAAUAUUGGACAAUGGGCGCAAGCCUGAUCCAGCCAUGCCGCGUGAGUGAUGAAGGCCCGUAGGGUUGUAAAGCUCUUUCAGCGAGGAGGAUAAUGACGUUACUCGCAGAAGAACGCCCCGGCUAACUUCGUGCCAGCAGCCGCGGUAAUACGAAGGGGCUAGCGUUGUUCGGAAUCACUGGGCGUAAAGCGCACGUAGGCGGUACUUUUAAGUCGAGGGUGAAAUCCCGGGGCUCAACCCCGGAACUGCCUUGAUACUGGAAGUCUUGAGUCCGAGAGAGGUGAGUGGAACUCCGAGUGUAGAGUGAAAUUCGUAGAUAUUCGGAAGAACACCAGUGGCGAAGGCGGCUCACUGGCUCGGUACUGACGCUGAGGUGCGAAAGCGUGGGAGCGAAACAGGAUUAGAUACCCGUGGUAGGACAGUG
rnacentral:rRNA from 1 species